rnacentral:rRNA from 1 species
GGCUAAUGACGGGCUAGACGGCGGGGUAAUACGUAGGGGGCAAGGGUUGUCCGGAAUUAUUGGGCGUAAAGGGAGCGCAGGUGGGAAUGUAAGUCAAUCUUAAAAGGGCGGGGGUCAACCCCGUGAGGGGAUAGAGACUACAGUUCUUGAGUGCAGGAGAGGAAAGUGGAAUUCCUAGUGUAGCGGUGAAAUGCGUAGAUAUUAGGAGGAACACCAGUGGCGAAGGCGACUUUCUGGACUGUUACUGACACUGAGGCUCGAAAGCUAGGGGAGCGAACGGGAUUAGAUACCCGUGUAGUC